rnacentral:rRNA from 1 species
UCAGGAUGAAUGCUGGCUGCAAGCUUAACACAUGCAAGUCAACGGAUGUCUUUUUUGGUAGAUUCUUCAAAGAAAGGUGUUCAGUGGCGGACGGGUGCGUAACACGUGAGAACCUACCUUUCGGAGGGGGAGUAACAGGGGGAAACCGCUGCUAAUACCCCAUAAUACUGAGGAGUUAAAAGAUGAAUAAUCGCCGAUAGAUGGGCUCGCGCCUGAUUAGCUAGUUGGGGAGGUAAUUGCUUCCCAAGGCAACGAUCAGUAGCUGGUCUGAGAGGAUGAUCAGCCACACUGGGACUGAGACGACGGCCCAGACUCCUACGGGGGGCAGCAGUGAGGAAUUUUCCGCAAUGGGCGAAAGCCUGACGGAGCUAAUGCAGCGUGGAGGAUGAAGGCCCGUGGGUCGUAAACUCCUUUUCUCAGAGAAGAAACUCUGACGGUAUCUGAGGAAUAAGUCACGGCUAACUCUGUGCCAGCCGCAGC